CUCUGGGCUGAGCCUCAAAAUCAGGUAGGCUCCGCCUCUGGGCUUUCUUAUUGGUCAACCUAUUAACCCUUUCUCUCCCCAAUACAAACGUAUCCCCAAAGAAUGGGCAAACACCACAGAUAGAUACGCUGAAAUUGAUGUAUGCCUUUUCUUUCAGUUGAAAGUACAACCUAAUUAAAUCGAAGUUAUAUGUGUGGACUGGGCUUAGGAAAUAAUGCUGCUUGUUGAACACAUAGCACACUAGAGAGAAUCUAUACUUGCCUAACUACCAGUUAUGGAAGUUCAGCACUGAAAAUCAAAGCAGUUUUUAUUUGGGCGGGUUUACACAUUAUGUCUGUAGCAGUGCCCUAAAACUGGUCUCUGCCAGUGCACGGGACCAAGUUCACAUGCUCUUUAAUUUUACAGUUAGCAUGUCAUGUGAUGAUACAAGGUAUGAAAUAUUUAAACUAUACAAACUCUUUAUACUUAUACACACUCUAGAUGUUGUUCACCAAUAACAGCACUCUACCUUGACUAUUCUCGUCUCCUUGUGGGGAAAAUGGCAUCCUGGUACUUGAGAAAGUGUCCGGAUCAAAGCUUGUUUCCUGCUUCUUAAUAUUCCCUGUGCUUGCACCUCAAGCUGGUUGCUUGAGUAGGCAGCUCCCUGGAGUUCACAGCAGGUGCGAAAUGCAAGGUUACACAGCAAAGACCACUUGGCCUUCAUUUUAUUGCAGAUUGUUCCUAGAAUGUUUGCCUUUGUUCUGUUGUUUGCUUUUGGUUAAGAGCUGAGCCCUUGUGGUUCACCCAGAUAUGCCCUAGAGUCUGCUGUCCUUCCAAUUUAUCACCUGACAGCAAUGAUUGUACAAUGUAAUUAAAAGUCAAUGCUAGCUUUUUGGAUAUAUGCUAUAAUGAAAGAACCAUCUGAAAUUAGGACUUAAAUAAUGAAGGGUUCAGGGACAUGCAGGCUGGUAUUUGUUAUGCAUUUUAAUAGAGGAACUUUGCAGCUAAUUGGAGGCUAACUAAACCCCUUGGACACAUUUCAAGUCACGUCAGUGUUUUUCUCUCCCUAAGGAAUCUGAUAGGCUAUGCGGCUUAGAACUGCCUUUUUCUAUCUUAAUUACCACAUUGAGUUGUUCUAAUGUUGGUUUACUUUAGAAGCAUGCAUGAUGAUUAUAAGCAAGCAAGAGUUUCUACAAGCAACCAGAAUCUAAUUUAAAAUUUAACACCUCCCUAUCCACAAAAAGUGACAGUACAGAGACAGAGGAAAGUGGAUCUAUUUAACAGCAAAAACGACAUCCAUGACCUAUGCACAUGUAUGAUAUUCACACUAGAGAACACUAAUGAAUGUGACCCACCUUCAUCUGUAAACAUCCCUCUCGGGCUGACAACAGUUGUAGUACAGCACGGGGCAAUGUUAUGUCUACUCAUGUAUGUUGUUGUACAUCCAUAAGAACAUAAGAGUACCCUUCCCAAGAGCUUAUAUCACUAAAAGGGUGAACUUUUAUUGCUCAAAAGCCUACAGCUAAAACUUUUCAAUGUAUGUUAGCAUUCUCGUUUGGAUCUUCUGAAGAAAACCGUUUGAAGACCCAACGUAUUUGCUGCAGCAGCACCAUCUAUGAAUGAGUUGUCUGUCAAUGCCCAGAAUGCAAGAUAAAGGGCUAUUUGGAGAUUAAAACAAAACAAAACAAAACAAUAAGCUACUUUAUUGUUCAUUUAGCAUUCUACCACCCCUCCAUAUUGGGAAUAAACAUCUCCUGAUAGUAAGAGGUAUGCUGCCUCUGAUCCCAGAGACAAUGGCUUUAAUCCUGGCCAUGAAAUAUCCUUGCAGUUCCUCCAGAAGUUGCCCAUUUGUGUAAUUUGGUCAGCUUUUAGAGAAAGCUAAUUAUUUAUAAUAACCUGCUCUUUAUGACCGCAGUGCAUGUUAUACAGUGGUACUUUGGGUUACAAACACUUAGGGUUACAGACUCCGCUAACCCAGAAGUAGUACCUCAGGUUAAGAACUUUACUUCAUGAUGAGAACAGAAAUUGUGCGGUGGCGGCAUGGCGGCAGCGGGAGACACCAUUAGCUAAAGUGGCACCUCAGGUUAAGAACGGUUUCAGGUUAACAACGGACCUCCGGAAUGAAUUAAAUACUUAACCUGAGGUACCACUAUAGUUGUUAAAAUAUAUAAAACAAUUUCAACAGAAUGAGUAGGUAAAAACAUAACUUAUCCAUAAUACCCCCAUGGAACCACUCAUGACAGCUCAUUGCAGAGGAAAGCUAAUACUCAUCUCCUAUAAAAGCCGCACAAAAUCUCCCUCAAAAAGUAGGUUUUUACCCAAAGUCAAAAUGCUAGGAGCAUCAGCAUUAGUGCCACCACAGAAAAGGCUCUAUCUCUUGUCACCGCAUAAUGCACUUGCACCAAAGGCAAGACCAUGGGAAGAGACACAUCCCCAGAGCUAAGAAUCUGGGCAGACUGAUAUAGAAAGAAUUGUUUCCUUCAGAUACUUUGGGGACUCAAGUCACAUAGGUAAUGAAAUUUAUUUUAGGAUUGGAAUUAGGUGUUCCCUACGAACACCCCCCCCCAUACUCUGUCAGCCACAUUCUGUAUGAAUUGUAGUUUUCAGAGAUUUUUCAAAUGAAGUCCCAUGUAAAACAGACUCAAAAAGCUGGUGGUCUUAGUUAUUUGAGAUAACGUACCGUAAUUUGAGGACUUUCUUUCAAAACCAGGAGAUUAUUUGAAGCUAGUGUAGCUCUUAGAGAAAUCUUAAUUUCUUGUAGAAAUCUUAACGGAAUAUGAAAAAUUGUGCUGGGUUUAUUUCAGUGCAAAAUUGAAUCCGGUGACAUUUAAAGGGAAAUCUGAAGUGAAGCCUAUGGGAAUCUGAUCAUCAUGUGAGUGUAGCCAAUAUCUAGGAGAGCUUGUAGAACAGUUUCUCUAUCGACUCUAUCUCUUCUGAUCACAGAGUUUGUACAAGAAAUUAAAUCACAUUUCAAAUCCAUCAGUAAUGAUUAUCUAGAAGUACCCCAUGGUUGAUACUUUAGCUGAUGGGGGAAUUUCAUCAAUAUCAGACGUUCUCUAGAGCCCACAAGUGAAGUUGACCUAUUACUUGAACAUAUGCUCAACCAUUUGUUAUUUUCAGUUUCCAAGCAUGCUAUUAUAUUUUAGCUUCUCCCCCCCCCUUAAUGAACAGUAAAAUCCUGCCACAUUUUAUUUUACAAUCAUGCCUAUUCUUUUCUUAGGCUUAUAUGCUGAAUAGCCUAUGUUGUUGCUCAACAAAGUACAGGAAGGAACUGUUUCUAACACUGCACCUGGGAGUGGAGAUUCUAUUUUGCAAUUCUCCAAUUUAUAUCUACAUCAAUAACAAAGUAAUUGAAGUCCCUCCAUGAUCAAUGCUCUCUUCUCAGAACUGGCCUUCCUUAUCUAUAUAAACAUUUCCUUGCAGUGCCUUCUCAUUAUUUCUCAGAGGUUGGAAGUAGGGUGUUUUCCCCCCUUUCCUCCUCUUGUAUUUUUCCAGUUCAGCUCAGAAUUUUCUGACAUGAUAAGCCAAGUACUACUUUUACAUAGGUUCUUUCAGAAGCAGGAGCUACAUUGUUGUUUCAUUUCUCUCCUGCUCAGCUUUAAACUCAAAUUCAUUGUCACUUUCAAUAUGAUAGUCUGAUAAUUCUACAAUAUUUUAUUCUCUCAUUACUUCCAUUUCAUUACUGUACUUCCCCUUUCCCUACUCUUCUUCAGAUCUUUUAAACUUGUUCAUUAGUUUAUUCAUGUUUUGUUUAACAGAAAACAACCUAGUAUUGACUUUAUCCUCACAGUGUAUUCUCUAGCUGGGACACAAGCAAUGUUCAGCUAAGAUGAAUUGAUUUUUUAAAUAUUCUGUUUAAAGCCGUCCAGAGUGGCUGGGACAACCCUGUCAGAUGGGCAGGGCAUAGGAAAUAAAUUGUUGCUGCUUUUAUUGUUGACAAAACUGCAGUUCCUAUUUAAGGGUCAGUUUGAGGAUGACUGCUGAAUUCAUGGAGUCUCAAGACUGAUCCAUGCAUGGAGCUUUUCCAUUGAAGCCAGACUUUACCUCUGAGCAGAUGUUCAGUGGCAAUGUUCAGUGGCAGAUAGAGUCUGCAUGUACAUAACAGGGAUGGGCUUGAAAUUGUGUCCCAAUAAUCUCAGUCUUAUUUGUGAAUGCUGACAUUAGGGGCAGGAAUUUGUCAACUAUCAAAACUAGAUACACAGUUGUGCCCCAAGUUCAUGGGUGGCAAAAUUGAGGAGGUCAUUUUGAUGAUUAUUUUCCAGGUGAGGACCAACAUCAUUCUCCAACAGUUGAAGAAGAGUUUAAAAAAGAAAAAUUGUCACGAAUGUGUCAGAUAUUCUUUUCCUGGGAAAUUUUGAUUCAGCCUUAACAUAGGUAGAUAUAUACUUGGAUUGCUGAGUAACUAGAUACCACACAUGUAGAUAUUGAGAAUCCACUAUGUUUCUGCUUUGCUAAGCUGUCUUGGUACAUAAAGCAAAAUAGCAAAGGUGAAGGAUUUUCUUUGCAUUUAACAACUGCAAUUAUUAUUAAUAAUAAUUAAUUUAUUUUAAAAAAUAUUUAAUAUACUUCACUUAUGUUUAUUAGGUGAGCCUCGUUUUGGUUUAUUUUUCACAAUAGCCAAAUUAAGACAAAUAAACUUUAACCUAUUGUGAUGGUGCCCCCAUGUUUCUGAGAUAUAAGCACUAUUUAAUCUAUAUUUGAUAAUAAUCAAUUAAAGGACUGGGCUUAGGCUGCCUUAAAAUUAAAACAAAAAGAGGAUUUAAAGCAUGGUAUUGUAUUAAAUGCAUUCAUAUUGGACUUUUAGGGACUCUACCAUCAAUCUUUUUGUUCCAACUAUUCCCAGAGAGUUAUACAGUAUGAAAUCAGUAAACAGAUACAGCAAUGCUUAUCAAACCCAGUUCAAUCUCACACUGUCAUGCUGAGCUUUAUAACAACAGUGAAUCCAAUAUGUUCAUGAGAACUGGUCAUGGGAAUUUAUAUGCAAGGAGUAACAUCUCAAAAAUCCAUUAAAUGCCUGAAGAGUGAUGAAAAAUCAAAAGGAAGGCAUCAAAGCCACGCAAAAUACAGUGUAGAUAUGUUUACUGUCAGAAACCAAGCUGUACAUUUUUCACCACACAAUAAAUUAUUACACCCUGUAUAAGGAAAUUCUGAAUACUGGCAUUGAAAGAGUCCUUAACAGAACAGUUCGAGAUUUCCAUUUAAGCCACACAAAGUCCACAUUUUUAAUGAAAAAGAUGAAAAGCAAUAGAUCAUUAUACAACAUCCUACUAAAUACCAUUGCAUGGUUUUCCAGGAACGAUGAUAAAUUAUAGUGCACAUGAGUGUUUGUGGAAUGACCGCUUACCUGGUAUGGAGGUGGGCGGUGGUUGCAGCCUGGCACAACAGCCCCUCACACAUCCAGGGGGUGGAAUAAUUUAGUCUUGGUGGCCAGCCAUUGUAAUACCUCCCUGGGUGGCAGACCAGAGUGGAGAAGUCUUCACUCUGGUCUGCCUCCUGGAGAUAAAGACCAACUGCGCCCAAGCAUGGCAUCGCAUCAUCACAGCCUCAAACAGGUAUGAUCAAAGAGUUAGAGGAGUCUAAACUGAAGUCUCUGUCCAGAAGCCAAGCAUGGGGCAGAUGGGCCAUAGAGCUUCCCUCAGCAGCCUAGUAGACCUUGGUAGACCCACAUCUUGAAUGGCCCUCCAUCUCAGGCAUGACUGUGCUAAAGCAUCAGCCCUCCAUCUGGAGGCUGAUAAAGGAUAUACACCCAAUGCCUGAGCCAAAGCCUACCUACAUCUGUAAUCAAUAAAAGUUGUGGUCAAUUUUAAACCUCAGAACAAUGUCCUGUCUGCUUAGUUUACACCUGUUGUUGCCUGGGUUUCACCCUUUGGGAGGGGACUCUGUGGGUGGCUCCACAAUGGCCUUCAAGACUGGAAAAUGCAAAAACAGAUCCUCAGUUUGCUUUCCUUUCUAUAUCUACUCCCACGAAUAUUUAUUUUAACCCUUUAAACUUCACCAUUCCUCAAAAGACCCAAGGCAAUGAACAACAUAAGCUGAUAUGGAAAGCUCACAUCAUUUAAAGCAAACUAAUCAUAGUCUGACAGCCACAAAGAACUAAAGUGCCAGAGAUUUUUUUCUAAAAGAAAGAAAUGCAGACAAAGCAUUUUUACCAGAGCAAUUACAUCCACUUCAAAAAGGAACAACUAUUUAUGCAUCAAAAGCCUUCCUAUAAAGGACAGUUUGGGCCAUUCAGAGAAAGGCAGUGAGAGAGGAGGAGCCUUUGUCAGAAAUAUGUUUACUUGGUCCAUCCAAGUAAAAUAUGUUCUCCUUGGUCCCAACUGUCUGGAAAUGCUGGAACACACAGAAGGGCAUCUGAUGAUGAUGUAAAUAAGCAGACAGGUUCAUAUGGGACAAGGCAGUCUUCCAGUUAUCUAGGCUACAAACUAUAAAAAACAUUUAUUUCCUACCCAUUUCAUUACAUCAAAACAUUGCAAGAAAGAGAAACAAAGGAAAAACAAGAAACUCUUACAUAUACUGUACAUGCAACAGAAGCACCCAAAAAUAUCUUUACAAUAAUGGGGAAAGCUUAUCAAUCAGCCUGUUGCUUUUGUUUAUCAGUCCAAUAGUUUAAAAGGUUUCAAAUCUCCUUCAAAGGUGUUGACUCUGCAAGAUUUGUUGUUGUCAGAUUUGUCCUGUAAAGUUACCAUGUAUAGUUAAAUCUCACACUUGCAGAUACCAUUCUCUAAAUCUGAGAAUCUGCCAUAUGAAUGAGGAUGGGGACUUCUAAUAUUUAGUAGAUAAAAUUGGGUUGCCACAAUCAGGUGGAAGAGUGAGACUUCUCUUUGGAAACAUUUCCUUUUAAAAAUGCUAAUAGGAUCGUUUUGGAAUUCAUUGUUAACCUUUCUCUCAGAAUAUCCUUAAGUAUAAGUUGCCAAUAUUUCUUAGCCUUCACACAAAACUACUAACAGUGGAGAAAAUCACCUUUUACUUACUUUCAACAGUUAUUUGAAUCCCCUUAUUAAGAGCUUUAAAGGUCAUCACAGGCACAUUAAAUUGGGCCUGGGAAGAUAUUGGAAGCCAGCAUAACUUUUUCAAUAAGGAUUUCCCUAUAUGCAGUGGCGUAGCGUGGGGGGUGCAGGGGGGGGGCCGGCCGCACCGGGCGCAACAUCUGGGGGGGGGCGCUUGCACUCGCAGCUCUCUGCCCCUACUAAAAUCCAUGGGUUAGGGGGCGCAAAUUACUUGCCUUGCCCCGGGUGCUGACAACCCACGCUACGCCACUGCCUAUAUGUGACCUCUAUUAGCAGCCUGGCCACAGUAUUCUGGAUGCAUUGUGGUUUCUGAGCACUCUUCAAAGGCAGUUCUAUGUAGAGCACAUUGCAGUAAUGCAGUUGUAUGUGCCAACCUGGCCAGGUCUGCAGUCUCCAGGAAUGGGAGUAGUUGGUACACCAUUCAAAGCUGGCUAAAGGCACUCCUGAACACAGCAAAGAAGUGAACACCCAUGGUCAAAGCCAGGAAACCCCAACAUGUGCACCCAUCACUGAGUCAACCCCUAUUUCUGGGUCAACUCUAUUGACCAGAAGCAUCUUUGUCUUGUCUGGAUUAAGCUUCAAUUUUAUUUUUAUUUUUGCCCCCACACAGUCCAUUACUGCUUCAAGACAGCAGUUUAGGACCUCUACAACCUCUCUGGAAUGGGAUGGAAAAAGAGAUAGGGUUGGGUGUCUUCUACAUACCUAUGGCAGUGAUCUCCAAUUCCCUGGAUGACAUCUCCAAGUGGUUUCAUGUAGAUAUUAUGAAAGGCAAGAUGGAAACUGUGGAACACCAUUGAUCAAAGGCCAAGGUGUCAAACAAAAGUUCUCUUUUCUAUCAUGCAUGAAAUACAAAACCUUUCUAAAUAUCUUAGUGCAUGGUUAGUGCUGAACUUGUGGCCUACCAAUUACAGAACAGGGCACAGUUAGCCUAAUGGGUUAGAUUCCUUGUGGAAUUAUAUGAAUUUCCCAUAUUUUGAAUUAUAAUAAUAAUAAUAACUUCUGUCUUAAUGAAAUUUUAUGUAAUGAGACAUGCUAAUUAGUCAAUACUCCGGAUAAUACAGACAGGUUGUUUUUUUCAGGUAGGUGAACUAUUAGCUGUAGAGUCAGAAAACUGUAGAGUCAGAGUAGUCAUAGCUAUCUAAUGUGAGUAACAUUAUUUCAGCAUGGAAAUUUCAGCAUGGAGGAUACUGAAAGUACAACAUGGAUGAGAGCAGGGUACUAAGUGGGACACUGAUGUGCUUAGCCUAGAUCAAUGAGAGCUAACAAAUCCUGGACAGGAGACACAGUGCUUAAUCCUUGCAACGUUAGUUGACAAAGCAAAUGCGGCAGUAUGGACAGCUGUGUGGAGCAAGCAAGCUUUACAGCUCUGCAUAAUAUAGUUCAAGGAUUUUGUACAGUAUAUCUUAAAAAAAUAUAUGUGACAGGACCAGCAUUGAACCUUGAGAAUAGGGAGCAGGCCUGUGAAGUAUAUCAGCAUGAAUAUUAGCCCAUUCUCUCAGCUAGUGACAGUUUUCCUAAUGACUCCUUAGUCUGUGACAUUAAACGGGUUACUAACAUUCAGCAGAAGUAGCCCAAUGGCUUCUUUAUGUUAUUCUAUGCAAAGGCUGAAUUUUUCAUUAAUCUAAACUGAUGUAUCUAAUGAUUUACUCCAGGAGAACAAAGAUAUGGAAAAGAUUUUUUCCCCUUAAGGGUCAAACAGGAAGAGUUUUACUCAGACAAAAUGCCCUAUGGAAAUUAAACACUACUCACACAAACUGAAUCAGAUGCCCCUCUUGGGUCUAGUAUCUUUAAGAUAAUUCACUACCAUUCAGGGAGGAAGUUUUUUAAUUACAGCUGAAUAGAUAUAGCCCUUUCUGUCUGCAAACAUGUUUUAUGUUGUGCCAAUGAAUUAUUUUGGCCUCUUGAGAAAUGUCUUUGUUUUAGUCUAACUUGCAAAGACUUGUUUAAUCAAGAUAAUAAAGUAAGAUCCCCAUACAGAAGUAGUCUUGCACAUGCAUAAGCAAGUUCAAAUGCAAUAUGGAAGUAUCUCCACAUCUCCAUCACAAUACUUUCUAGAAGUUCCACUUUAACUUGCUGGAUGCAUGCUGUGAUGCACUUAGAGAGGCCUAUUCCCAUAGACUUGAAGCAAUGUCCAAACUUAAUACUUGAGCACGACAUCCUUGCAGCUCUGUGCUACAGACUGUUCUUGUAAUUAUAGCUUGACAUUUUAUUUUUUUCAUUUUUACUGGGCUUUCAUUUUGGAAAAGCUGUAAUUGAAAAAUGAGUAAACAAAGAAGCAAGUCUAUUAAUAAAAAUGGUUUUGGACAACAGCUCUGAAUACUUAUAACUGUUCCAGACGUCUCUAUUUGAUCGACUUGAUCUUGCGUUGCCAUGAGUGAUGAGCAAGAUAAUAAAAACACAACUUUUCUUCAAAGUUAUGGCAACACUUUCAGAGUCAGCCAUUUGUGCUUGCCAGUGAAUAUCAAGGGCACCCUUUAUGAUUCCUGGAUUGCCUAAUUUAUUGUUUAUAACAUGCCGUUGUUCAUUAUAUCCUGAUAUAUUAGGUUUAUCUCCUUCAAUCCUCUUUUUUAUUAUUUCCUCUGCAAGUCAAAAUGACUUCUACCUGCAAAAGGAUGCUGUGCCAUUUUGCCACUCUAAAAAAAAGGGGAGGGGGAGGAAGGAAGGAAAAAGCAAAAGAAAAGCACCAAGAGACUAGGCAUUAGAGACAAAACUCAAAUAGAUCUGAAAAACUACCUCUUAUGAGGCAGCUAAUCUGGGCCCAAAGGGAGGUCCAGCUGUCAUUGAUGUCUUCAGUUAUCUUUGUGAGACAAAGUAUUAAUCCAUUUACAAAUCCCAACUUUUCUGUUGUCAGGUUUUCCUUCAAAUGUGAGGGUAAAUAGCAAGAGAAAGGACAGCAAACAGUAAUGAAGUGUAAGCCAGCUUUACCUAAUACAGAUCCCUGAUGGUAAACAAAUACACAUUGGUCUGUCACUUCAAGACCAGAAGGCGCUGUUUGCUUAGCAUUUAACUGAAUUGAAAGAACUGUUGUCUUAUUCCAGGAAGCAAUCCAAACAUUUUUAGCUUCCAAAUUGAGUCUGAGUGGAAGAGGGACUAAAUUUGGCAUGGUGUCCUUGUAAUAGUGCUGUAUAACUCGAGGUUCUCGGUAGGGUGUGAAUUAAUAGUAUAAUAUCUUCCCUUUGAGGAGAAAAAUAGAAUUUCAUUUUCAUUACCCUAACCUUUUGUUUAGUCACAGUGUAUAUAGAUUUCAUUUGUGUGUGAGUGUUUUUCAAAACCACUACCCAAAUUAUUAGACACAGUAUAAUGUGAAAGAUGCUUGCUGUUUCAAAAGGGACUUUGUUAUUCCUGGAAUUCAACAGUGAAGCCAAGUUUAAAUGUUACUUUGGUUUUGGAGUUGCCACCAAAAUAUCCUGCUGUGCCAGGGAUUCACAUAGCUACCAGAAUGUUAUGAUUGCUAUCUAUGUAGCUCCAUUGCAUUACAGACACAUAGGAAUACGGGGAUCUACAUAUUAAGGAGGAAAUCCUAUGGCAAGAUCCGUCAAGAUGAGCAGCUUAGAAUGUAUUGGAUCUCUGGCUCAGCCGGCAGAUUCCUGGCUUAGUUGGGCUCAGUCAAUGCAAAGUUCUCAACCCCUGGCUAAGCUGGAGAUAUGCCAGAAUUUUGUUUUGACAUUUAGGAUUCACUGCAUUGUAUUCUCCCAUUCCUUCACUUUUAACUGUAUUUUGCCCUUGCAUCGGUGGCAGCAGCACUGGUAAAUUCUCCACCAUCUCCUGCCUUCCUGAGUCUUACUCUGAGAAAUAGGCCAAGGAUGGGUUCCUUUCUCACAGCUAGGUAUUCUGGGUGAGGUGUGUGCCAUUGCUGUACCUUGCUGCUGCACAGCUAGAAAAUUUGCUCAAACAUAUACCGGUUCAUAUACAUAUUGUCAUGUACUGAAGUUCUCACCCUGGGCCAGCAGGGGGAUACUGUAGAUAGUUCAGGUCCACAUAUGCAAAUAAGGGAUUGAAAGUGACGUUCAGUGAUUGGAUAGUUACAGAAAGUUGUUACAGUUACGUUGUACUGCAGCUCUAUAUAAGCAGGCUGGCUGAACCCUUCAGUUCAGUUCUCUUCUGGCCUGUGAAUAAACAAGAGCUGUUUGAAGAAUCGCUGUGUUGUCUGAUAUGUUCACCCACAACUUAACACAUAUACAAAUACAUAUACAUAUACAUAUGUUUUUAAAGCUGCUGUGGGUGGCAUUCAACUCAGUUUCACUCCGUGUAGAUCCAAUGAAAUCAAUGGACCUAAGUCAUGUGCAUUACUUACAACGGGCAACUUCCAAUUUGUUUCUAAAGUUAAGCAGCCAUCCUAGCCAUGGCAGGAACGACAGCAGCACUCUCCAGGCCACCUCACCCAGAAUCCCUCACUCUAAGAAAGGAUCCCCUUGCCUUCUUUCUCGAAGUGAGGCUCAGGCAAGGGGAAGAGGUAGAAGGGGUGACAGGAAACCUUGCCUUGUGCUAUAUUGCCAGGAUGUGAGGGGACCCUGGAGGGGCAUCAGUUUGCAGGACCUCAGACAGUUGUCUCAUUCUGCCUCAUCGAUGGGCUGGCCUGAAGACUCAGAUCUGUCAACUCAUGUUGAAAUUGGGCCAGAACCCAAUGCUAGCUUAGCUGUAAACAGCUCCCUUCAGGAGAUCAAGGUGACUUGCAUAUGCAAAGUUCAAAAGUAAUUUCAAAAUGUUUACCAUAUUUCAUUUCAACAGUAAUUUGAGAAGGAAAAUCCAAGGUUGGCUUUACAUAAGAGCCAGCCCUGCCUGAAAGUUUCACCCCAAAGUGAUUUUAUUCCUCAACCAAGGCUAUUUGUCAAAAGCUGGAAAAGAUUUUCCACUGAGAAGCAAUUGCAAUCUCUGUUCUUUAACAGUCUAAUGUUAUAUAUGCUGUGUGGAUGACUAAUAAGUGCAGGUGUAUAUAACUUGCUACUAUAAUGAUGUAAUAUUUCUCUUGCAGUGUACCUGUAUUUAUCUCCACACACAUAUUCUAUUUUCCUUUCAUUGAAACUUAGGGAAGCAUAAAAAAUGAAUAAUGAUUUGAGUUAAUGCCAGCAGAAGAAGUGUCUUCUUUAAUUGCAGAUAUUUUAAGAUGAUACAAUUCUGCCUAAGUAGCUGACUUUUUAAUUCUUUUUCAGCUGUUAUUUUAAAAAGUGAUUCACAGUGUGGUAAUUACAAUGUUAAUCAAUCUGAAAAUGAAUACGGGGAAAAGCAGUAAAUUUCCAUCACUGUUCUAUUUAGGUGAGGUAAGUGAAUGCGGAGGUAUUUAUGUAAACUUGAAAACUGUUUCCUGUUGAAACUUGAGUAAUAAAUAUAAGCAAUGUAGAUGUGCACUUUCCCCAUAUUACUGUCAUUACUCCGUCUGUAUCCAGGGCUGAUUGACAUUAGGCUAGUACAAGCCCACAGAUGUUUUAAUUGAAAUAUUUUUUAAUAUAGUUACCUUUUGGGUAGUAAAACAAAAUUCCACACCCUUCUGGCAUUUAAAUGUCUGCAUUUAAGCCUAUAAAAGUAGCUUGCAAAAUGUAGUAAAUACCUUCCUUCUAUCCACAUAAGGUGAUUCCCUCCCCCUGCCCACAACACAGAGACAUGGCAAAUUUAAGGGGUCAGUUUCCACAUUAUGCAUAAAACUUACAUUUCAGUGAGUCAUUUAGUGUUGUUUAUUUGUGCAGCCCUAUAGGUGCCCACUUGACUGCUUUGACCUGUGGCACUGGGGCUGUUACAAAUGCCACAUAAUACUUGUUCUACAGUUGUAAUAAAUCAUUUUUUAUUUUUUGUGUGUGUGCUGGCACCUAGACUUUGAAACUCCCUCAGGCAAGCACUUUCACUGUUGUCAUUAUGGUGCCUGCUUCAAACGUUUUUGUUUAGGCAAGUCUAUCUAGAUACAUAGAUGUUGAUGUUUUUAAAUCUCUUUUCCUGUAGAUUUCAAUUAUUCAAAGAAGUUUUUUAACUGUUUUCAUUGUGUUUUAAUGUCUCUUAGAAACAGCUUAUAGGUUGUUUAUAAUCACGUGAUAUACUGUAUAACUCUUGUUAGAUAAAUAAAAUAAUAAUAAUCCUAUACACCGGAGUAGGGAACCAGUGGGUAGUUUUAAGAUGCUGUUGGACUUUCCGCCUCAGCCAGCAUUAUGAAAGGUCAGGGGUGAUGGGAGUUGCAGUUCAGCAAAUGCUAGAGGGCCACAUGUUUCUUAUCACUGCAAUACACACUCACCUGAUGGGGCUCAAAGAGUAGAAUUGUUUAGGAUUGCACUGCUAAGCAUCAAUAUGUCAAGCAGGAAAUGCAACAUGUGAUUUUGUUUUCAAGGUGGUGCAUAAACCCUGCUGCAACAGGCUGCAAAAAAAAAUGUAGUCCUCCAGGUCUCUCUAUUUAGUCACUGGGACUCUUUCCAGAGCACCUCUCUUCCCUGAAGUCACACCUUUCCUGAGUGCUUUUCUGUCUGGGUGAAAUGUGUUUGUGAACUGCAAUACUGCCUCUUGGGUGGACUGGAGGGAAGAUGGAAAGAUAUGUAGUCUGUAUGUGUGUGUAGACUAAGGUAACACAAGAGUCUCAUCCAUUCUCUGGGUCCCACCUACCACUGGUAUGCAGGCUCCAGGUGGCUGCCCAUGAAUGAGUGUGGCUGAAAAUCUUCCCCACCACUGAAAUGUGGAGAAUCCCUAUUCUCUGCCAUCUCUACUCUCUGGACGCUGGUGGCACUAUGGUCUAAACCACUGAGCCUCUUGCACUUGCUGAUCAGAAGGUUGGCGGUUCAAAUCCCCACGACGGAGUAAGCUCCCGUCGCUUUGUUGCAGCUUCUGCCAACCUAGCGGUUUGAAAGCAUGCCAAUGCAAGUAGAUAAAUAGGUACCGCUGUGGCAGGAAGGUAAACGGCAUUUCCGUGUGCUCUGGUUUCCGUCACGGUGUCCCGUUGCGCCAGAAGCAGUUUAGUCAUGCUGUCUGUGGACAAAUGCCGGCUCCCUCGGCCUGAAAGAAAGAUGAGCGCUGCAACCCCAUAGUCACCUUUGACUGGGGCUCCUUUACUCUCUGGAAGUGAGGCCUCUGGACGUUUUGUGUUGCAUAUGUUGCCUAGGAAGUUUGUUAACUUCCUGUAAAACUGAACUGUCUUCUCCUGCUUCUUUGACAAAAAAAGUAACAGAGUAGCAAAAGAAAAAUAAUUACCUUGGUGUGGGAAAAAUUACCUUGAAGAAUGAGCAAGAAAAAGAGCAGAUAUUAUGUGUCGAUGAAGAUUCAAGAUCGCACUAUGAAAAUACGUUGUGCGUUUGAUCUUCCUCUGUGAACUCAGGACCUUUAUUUCUCCAUGAAAUCUCUUUAUCAGUAAGAAAAGUGAAUCAACAAGACAAGUGCAAAUGAGGUGACAGUGCAGCAACAGGCUGUAAAAAUAUGCUGGCUGGAUGUGGAUGAAGCACUUUCUGAGGUUGUAGGAUGCACUGUAAGGGGAAAGAUGAAAAGGUCAACACAUCCUUCAAGCCAGCCAGCAACAAAAAUUUAAGGCUGGAUUUACAGCAUAAAUUAUUCUUUAAAUAAAAAUAAAAAUAAAGACCUGUCAGUAAAUGACACAAAAUGACUCAUUAAAGAUGAUACACACAUUUCAAAUAAGUGAAAUAAUAGUUUAGAUCCCCACACAUAUUUUCACUGCAUGUUCUCACUAGCUGAAUCUUCCACAGGUCCCAGUGCAGUUGCUUAGCAAACACACUUCAGAAUCUGACCCUCUAGCAAUAUUUAAAAACACCCCCCCCCAAAAAAAUAGAGAAUGAAACAGUUGCACUGUUUCCUUCUCUAGUGUAGUAGCUGUGGUAUGUUCCUAUUCUCUGGAUGCUCACUGUUACUGAGGCCUUUUCUGCCCCCUUUCCAGGUAAAAUGUAUGUAUAUAUUCUCUUGAAUUUAUAUUACCUGUUUUUAAUGUUUUUUUAAUAGUUGUAACCUGCACCAGAACCUCCUGUUAUAGAGCAGGAAAUAAUUCUAACUACAGUGGUACCUCGGGUUACAGACGCUUCAAAUUACCAAUGCUUCAGGUUACAGACUCUGCUAACCCAGAAAUAGUACCUCGGGUUAAGAACUUUGCUUCAGGAUGAGAACAGAACUCAUGCGGCGGCACGGCAGCAGCAGGAGGCCCCAUUAGCAAAAGUGGUACCUCAGGUUAAGAACAGUUUCAGGUUAAGGAAUGACCUCUGGAACAAAUUAAGUUCUUAACCAGAGGUACCACUAUAGUAAUUAAACAGCAACAAUGGUGCUAGGUCAGUAUUCAAAAUUACGCAUAAGAGCCUGGAACUUAAUCAUUUUUUUUCAUUUGGUUUCCUACUUCAUACUAGCAGUUUAAAAGCUAACAUUUCUUUCUAAGAUUUGCACUUCUGAUUAAAAACUAAAGGCUGAAUUUCUGGUGGCUGAUGAUUUUUCCUUAAACCCACUAUAAGCUGAAGUGGUACAGUCUGAAGCAAGCACCUCUAAGUUCAAUGGAUCUUACUUACAAAGAGCGUUACAGUCAUGCAGUCUACUAUGUGUUGCAUAUAUUAUAUAACUGUACUAAUGGGUAAAUACAGCUUCCUGUAUAUUUGAAGUCUCAUUGGAGAAUGGCUAUCGGGACUGUAAUGAUGAGUUCCUGCUCUUGAAAAUUAACCACACUGUAUGUAAAAUAACCAUAUGUAAAAUGCUUCAGCUGGGUUUCAAUGCCUUUUGUAAACAAAACAUUGUAUCAACUUCAAUUUACUAUUAGAGUGAGAAAAAAAGAAAAGAAAGUGUGGUUAGCUUGUGCUCAAGCCUACAAUUUUCUCUCUCUUUAUCUACUGUGAAAUGAGCUGAUGAGCACUGAGUAGUUCUGAAUAGUAAUAUACAUGUAAAUCAGUAUCAGCUUCCUGACCCAAAAAGAACCCCAAACCUAACUGUCAGCAUUAUUAUGUUUGUAGAAAAUCACAUUUUAAAAAAUGUAUGUGGGGAUAUAUAUAUAGAGAGAGAGAGAGAAAUUCAGAAUGUUAGAAUCACUGAUACUGUUCACAUAAAACUUUCAGUGGAAAGUAGAAGUCUGACCCACAUCAGUUGGCCGGUUGAAAUGAACAACCUGCAUCAUAUUUCACUAGGGUUGUAAUUUUAUAUGAACUUGGAUGCAAGCCCCAUUGUACUCAGUGGAACUAGUCAUGAUCAGGAAAGCAGUAGAAAGUAGCUUCCUGCUGUCCUCUGAAGCUUUAUUUAUUUAGGAAAUCAAAGGAAAACAUUUCAGUGCUAGCUUCAGUCUGUUCUAGAGCUUCAGAGUAGACUGAAACUAACUUUGAGGCUCUAGCAGGUCUGGAGCUUGAACUACUUGAUAAUGAGGCUGGACCAAACUCCAAAGUCUGGCACUUCAGCGGCUGGUUCCACCAAUUUAAUCAUUUAUUUGUUGCAAUCCCCAGCAUCCCCAGGUUGUGCUGGGAAAGACUGUUGCCUGAAGCCUUGGAGAGCCACUGCCAAUCAAUGUAGACAGUACUGAGCUAGAUGGACCAAUGGUCUGAGCCAGUAUAAGGCAACUUCCCGUGGUCCCAAAAGAAAUGGAAAUAGUCUGAUGAACUUAUUUUGGAAGCUCAGCACCGUCUUAGAAAGCACGUCUAGUAGUCUAAUACUCAUGAUUAGGGUGACCUCUAUUUUUUCUAAAGGUUGGCUUAUGUGCCUUCUGUGUUCUGGAGAUACAACAUAACAUCAGAAAUGCAAAAAGCAGCUAAGAAGGGCUACUGCUAGCGCCCAAACAAUAGACAUUUGGUUUCUAACUUAUGUUUCUGCUGCAGAACUCUGUGUGUAGGAGUCUUCCAAUUGUUACCAUAAAAACAGUGUUGUCAAGAAACUGCCAGAGCAAUCCAACACUUCUCUUCUGAUGUUCAGUUUCCUUCUGCUUGUUAACCUUGUCAAGGAGGGCAUGGAGGAGAGAGCACCAUUCAAAUGAAACCUACAGUAAUUACUGUAAUUCGAGGGGAUAUGUAUUCACUGGAGGAAGGCAGUUCCACCCUCACAAUCAACCUUUCUGCAACUCGAGGAAAACACAAACAUGGCCCUUCUCAGACAAAUUAGGCAUGAACAAAUGUUUCACAUUAAAUGAGUUGAAGGACCUUGCUGGAAAUUACAAGGGCUGCUUAAGGAAGCAAUGAAUCCUAUUAAGGCAAAAUGGGGCUAAAAGAGAGGGGGGAGCUUUCUGCUGGGAUUUUCAUACAUGUUGACAACCGUAUGCAUGGUACAGUGAAGCAGCCUCAGUUUCUCAGAGAUGCCAAAAUAUGUAGCUGUAUAAAGCCUGGAAAAGAGGUACAAGUUGACUAAGGCAAAACAAGUGUUUAUUAAGGCACCAUUAGUUAUCCGAAGGAAAGUUUUGAGAGCAUUCAGCUUAAGUCUCUGGACUUUUUUUCAAUCUGCAUAAUACUUAGGACAAACACAGUGUCAGAUUAAUGUACAAAAAGGAGUUAUGUAUUGAAUAUAGCUGUGUACACAUUCUACCAAGUUUAAGAAAGAGCAUGGGAUAAGGUAGCAGAUGGUCAAAUGAGCAGUUUCAGGUGCCUGUGAGUUUUAUGUUGCAUUACUGUCACACAGGAAGAAGAAUCAUAUAAUGGCAGAGCCUUCAUAUUUGGAAAUGAAAUAAUCAGCUGCUACUCACUUCUGCCUCCAUCAUUAGGCAAAGCGCAUCAAUUCAUUUGGUAGGUGCAGAACAGGCAUAAAGAGAAGGUAGGUAGUCCUUAUAUAAACAGCUAGAGAUUAAUUUUAGGUUAAUUUGAUUUAUUUACCCAGCACAACACCAAGGAUGUAUCAUUACUUCUGCUCAGCACUUGAAUAUUGAAGUGAUAAACCUGUGAAAGAGCCAUGACAGAUCAAAUAUCACAGCUGGUGGCUUUGUAGCAUUUCCAACACAACAUUAUUUGAUGGGGGAAGUUCAAGCAAUUGAGCUACAUAUCAGGUGUUGAACAUCAAAUGAUGAGCAGUCAAGUUGUGCACAUGCAUGUGGGAACUGUUUUUUUUAAAGGUGGGACAUAGAAAGCACAACCUUUUGAAGCUGGGUGGCAGGAAUUCCCAUCUGCUUGUGCUGUGAAGCUCUACCUUGUCAGACUAUACAGUCCAGUAGCCAAAAUGAAAAAUCCACCUGGCAGAAGAUUUACCACUCCAUUUAAAGCAAAGAAAUAAAACUGUCUAAUGUAGCAAAAAAUGUAGUCAAAUGUAGACUUUGUCAGCCAUAGAGAUUAACAAGGGUAAGAAUUCACCUGUCAAAAUGCUGUAAAUAAUCAAAGGAGAAAGUCUCCUUUGAACAUCUUAACAUUGAAGAUGCUCAAGAAAAGCUGUUUUCUUCACAGGAGAAAGAAAAUACCUUUUAAGAUUCGCUCACUCAACUUGAAACAGCACAUCUUUAAUUCAUAUUACUUUACAAACAUGUCAUAUUUGUACUCAGAGACUUGGGAGAGUUUCUUGCACUGGAAACGGCCUCUCAAAGCUCCAACAUGGAUGUGAGGCUGCUAAAAUGUAAUGAUGGGGAUAGCAUGGAAACACAAUAAUACACACUCAGAAUAGGCAGACAACAAUAAGAAAGCUACCAUAUUAUUAUUGUUUGCAUUUUGUCUAUUUUUGCUCUGAACAUGGGUUUCAGUUCUUUUAUCCACAAGAAACCUCCAUAUAGCUCAAGGAUGGGGCCUUAUAUUGAGCCAGACAAUUGAAACAUCAGUUUUGUCUACUGGGAAUGGGAAUCCUGUGGCCCUACAAAUGUUGCUGGACUGACCCUCAUCCCUGACCAUAGGUCAUGCUAGUUGGGGCUGAUGGGAGCAGGACAUUUCUUUUCAGCCAGAGCACAUGGGAGCACAUCUCCGGCACCUGUCAGAUGGGCAGCACAGGAAGUCCCUGAGCUGAGCUUCCUGCCUCAACUCAAACAGAGAGUGAGAAGCGUGGCAGCAGAAGAAGGCUCUGCAAAACACAGGUUAGCCACCCAUGCCCUUCAGGCAAAGAUGUUUCCCAUUCUCUUCCAAGUUACUACUCAACUUUCCAACUUCUUCUAGUAAUUGAUUCCUGCAUCCUUGAUCCAACAAAUAAAUUAUUUACAGAAUAGAAAUUCAAUGUCAAACAAAUUUAGAACAUGGCCAGAUUUUAAAAAUCAAAAAAUAACAAAGAAAAAAAUAACCCCAAGUUUUGUUGAUAACAUGUAAACCAAUCACUUUAUUAUUACAUCUUGCAAAAUUCAACAAUGUUAUUUUUUUUACCGCAGGAUUUGAGAACCUCUCUCCAGAUACGCGGGUGGCGCUGUGGGUAAAACCGCAGUGCCUAGGACUUGCCGAUUGUAUGGUCGGCGGUUCGAAUCCCCGCGGCGGGGUGAGCUCCCAUCCUUCGGUCCCAGCUCCUGCCCACCUAGCAGUUCGAAAGCACUCCUAAGUGCAAGUAGAUAAAUAGGUACCGCUUUAUAGAGGGAAGGUAAACAGCGUUUCCGUGUGCUGCGCUGGUGCUGGCUCGCCAGAGCAGCUUCGUCACGCUGGCCACGUGACCCGGAAGUGUCUCUGGACAGCGCUGGCCCCCGGCCUCUUAAGUGAGAUGGGCGCACAACCCUAGAGUCGGACACGACUGGCCCGUAUGGGCAGGGGUACCUUUACCUUUACCUUUACUCCAGAUAUUAUUGGAUUACAUCUCCCAUUGUAAGAAUUAAAGAACCACUUGAUGGAUCAAUCCUAUCUAGUCCAGCAUCCUAUACUCACAGUGGCCAGCCACUGAUUGAUUGAGUGAUCAAGGGCCAUCAAAUGAAUAUGUAGAUUGGACCUCAAGUAUGAUGGCAAUUAGGAGAAGGUGACCCCAUCAUGUGCUCACAGGUGAUCCUGCUUCCUGCUAGCCUGUGAAUCUCAAAGUGGGAUAUUUAAUAUUUACUUCAAUAUUUCUACAGGCCAAAAUAGAUGAGACAUUUCAGAUCUGCAAUGGAAUCUUCUACAUUUUUCAGUUUCUGUAAAGAUAUGGUGAGGGGGAUAAUUUAGAUUGGACUCACGGUGCUGGAGGACAAGUUUUUUGGGGGUGGGGGUGGGAGUGGGGGUUUAAAACAAAGAAAAUCUACAACUAUGGAUAGUUUGCCCCGUUAAGGUACAUAUAGGUACAUCUAAGUUUCUAGGCCCUAGAUCAGGGGUUCUUAAACUGUGGUCCUCAUACUUCCACUGGUCCAUAUGCUUUAUUCAGGUGGCCAUGGUGUGUCUAUAAAAGUAUAAUUAAAAACCAUACAGUAUCUAGUACAGUGCAUUACAAUUGCCACAACAGGCAGGUAAAUCUUUAAGCAGUCCACCAAGACUCUCAGCAAUUUUCAAGCAGUCCAUGGUGUGUGUGGAGUGGGGUGGGAGUCUGUGAAACAUUGCUUUAGAUGUAACAAAAAACCCCAACGUUUAUUUCCUUUUCACAGUAUAUGGGUUUGACAACAAAGUUUACAGUACAUAUGAAGAAGGAAAGGAUGGAGUUUACUUCGUUAAAAGACCUUUCUUUGACACUCCAGCCCAAACUACAGUACUUGGAUGCAAGCCCCAUUGAUUCCAAUGGUUCCUACUUCUUUUGCAUAAUGUGCUCAAGACUGGCUUGUGAGACUUCACACAAUGACUGUACUUACUAAUUUGAGUAGUCCCUGCUGCCUCCUUUUUGGAUUUUAGUCCACAAAGUUUAUUUUCCAUGUCUGAAACUUUAUAGGUUGGAAUAUGUUGGUGAAAGCGACAUUAAUUUGGACGAGCACGCUGAAGGUAGUUUGCAAAGUGGAAAUUUAAUUAACAGGGUGCCAUAGUGCUGAGUUAUUCAUUGCCUCGUUUUACACACUGCACAAGAGAAUCUGGCUACUCAGGAACAUAGAGGUAUUUGCUUGUCAUGCUGAGUUUGGACUCGGAGAAGAAAAACUACAGUGUGAUGCAUUUCAGAAGAGACAGCAGCAUGCAAUAUACCUAUAACUUGCCCCAACCCUUUAAAGUCUGAACAUGUAGCAAGGAGAAAUCACUGCAAUACCCUUUUCUGUAGAGAAAAGACAGCAUUGCAGCACCAUGAAUGCUGUCUUUGUGCUCCCUCUCUGUCCUAGUCCUAAUUAGUUGAGAUAGGUGCACACGCAUCAUACUAUCAUAUCGCUCAUCCCCCUGGCACUUUAUGACUUACUGAGAAAAAGAGAGCACGCAACUAUGGUGCUGCACUGACACUGGAAUGAUGCAGAGAACUUCUCCCUGGUAGACAGAAAAGAGAGUGCAAUGGUACUGCAAUGGUAAAAGUAGUGUGUUGGUAGCUCAGUGGAGGAAGGAAUCACAGACAUAAGGGGGUGGUCAAUCAGGUAUCUGAUCUGAUCACAUCUGCUUUGUGCUCUCUACAUAUUUAGAGGAGUGUUUUUAUUCAAGUCAUUUCAACAAUGGACUUCCUGUAAAUAUACAAAUAGGAUUCUUACUCUCUCUGAUGAUGGUGUUUGAUCUCAUUCUAAGGAGAUAAAAAGAGCAGGUUGUAUUCUGCCAAAUUAUUCUAUAAAAAAGUAAAGCUAUCUUCAAUAUUAAAGCCAAUGGACUGGAACCAGUGAUGUUCUAGAAUGAACAGAACACAGUUCUGCUUGUAAAAGUUGAAUGUCUGAUAUAGUCCAGGUUCUUGGCACCUCUAAUAUAUUAUUAAAUCUAAAAUAAAAUACAUUUAAAACACAUUGAACUACCUGCAGUUAUGUUUUUGCUCUGUCCCAUUAACUUGUAACAAUGCCCCACUGGGUUUCCUAGCAUCCCCUCACCAUAACACCUCUGGCUAUGAGGGAAGUUGAUAUCUAUCUAUCUAUCAUCUAUCUAUCUAUAUAUAUCUAUCUAUUUUGUAUAUCUCCCUUCAUUUGUAGUUCUCAGGGCAGUUCACAACAUAAAAAUACAAGAUAAAAACACAAAAUACACAAGAAGAACAAACCAAUAACCUCUCUCCCCCUCCCACUCCAGAUCUGGAUUUGAACAUUCUAAAUAUUUGUCUCCCUGGACUUUUGACUGAGAACACCAACAUUGCAGGGAAGUUCAGAGAAAUGACAUGUGAUGGCAAUUUCAUUGGAUUUGAGCUUGUGACUCAAUGGUCAGAGGUGAUGGACCUCUGAGUCACAUAUUCCAUCUUACUUCCGAAGAAAGUAAUUGAGAAUCGUAAAUAAUUUGAAUCUUAGAUGAGACGCUAUUUGCAUUUCACCAGUAACUUUCAAGAUGGCUCAUGAACUUGGUCACUGCUGAUCUCUGUCACAUGAAAGCUUGCAUAAGUGAUCAGGUCAAAGUCAUGGUCAUCUUGCAAAUAUAACUUCACUAAGUGCAAUGUUUUGCCAAUGUGUGCUAUGCGUCCUCUUUGCCCUCUAUAAUUUUAUCCAAGUUUUUCUUGAACAAAAAAUUAGAAAAUUUAUGUUUCUGUUAUUAGUAUUCUAGUGUCUGUUUAUGCAUCUAUAGUUGUUAAGAGGCAAAGGAACUGCCCCUCUACAUGCUCCAGAUGAAUAUGGCUGGCCUGAUAUAUGCAUUAAGCCUUACUCAAGGUUUUCCUGGACAUUUUUCCGAUUCAGCAGAAAUCUGCCCAGACGCCAUUUUGACAGUCUGAUUCCCA